AUACGCACAUAACUAAAAUACCAGCAUAAUAAAGUCCCCGACUUUCCCAUACGAACUGUAAUCGCAGUUUUUGUGCGAUUUUGUCACUCGCUGGGAUUUCCAUGCCAAGGUUGUAUCACUUUCUUUGGCUUUUGGGCAGCAUUCCUAUAAACAAAGCAAGCUGAUAUUUUUUGCACAAAGAUGCGAUAGUUCUUUCAGGUGUGCUCUGGAAGUGCAUAUGAAGACGCUUUUAAGCCCAAAUCUGAAAUGCAUGAAAUUGCUUGUGAGUUGUUCUUCCCCCUUACCCCUCUCUUUUCUUUCAACGGGGAUCAUCGACUUUAUUAUGUAUCCCCCCUUGGCCAUGAUCAUACUGGUGCAAUAUUAACCUACUUAGUGCUCUCUUUUCAUUAACAAAUUUCUAUUGUUGCUUUUGUAUUUAAAAUGCCAGAUUUAAUGGCUCUUGUUUGCUG